UACGGAGGGGGCUAGCGUUGUUCGGAAUUACUGGGCGUAAAGGGCUCGUAGGUGGCCAACUAAGUCGGACGUGAAAUCCCUCAGCUUAACUGGGGAACUGCGUCCGAUACUGGAUGGCUUGAGUUUGGGAGAGGGAUGCGGAAUUCCUGGUGUAGCAGUGAAAUGCGUAGAUAUCAGGAGGAACACCGAUGGCGAAGGCAGGUCUCUGGGCUGACACUGACGCUCAUGCACGAAAGCGUGGGGAGCAAACAGG
rnacentral:rRNA from 1 species